rnacentral:rRNA from 1 species
UACAGAGGGUGCGAGCGUUAAUCGGAAUUACUGGGCUUAAAGCGUGCGCAGGCGGCUCUGCAAGACAGAUGUGAAAUGCCCGGGCUCAACCUGGGAACUGCAUUUGUGACUGCAGUGCUGGAGUGCGGCAGAGGGAGAUGGAAUUCCGCGUGUAGCAGUGAAAUGCGUAGAUAUGCGGAGGAACACCGAUGGCGAAGGCAAUCUCCUGGGCCUGCACUGACGCUCAUGCACGAAAGCGUGGGGAGCAAACAGG